UAUAUGUAUAUAUAUGAGGCAAUAACUUUUUUUUUUUUUUUUAGAGAGAUAGAUAGCACGCUACCCGCUUUACUUAUUUUAUUUAGAAAUAAACUUAGCUGAAAAUGUGAAUCAAUUAAGAUUCGAACUUGGGUUUUGAGUACCAACCAUAAAGUCCUUUGUCAUUUGUUUUAGGGACGGUCGGUGAGCUAAUAACUUAUUGUAUUAUGGUACUAGAGUGU
rnacentral:lncRNA from 1 species